UGGGGGAUAUUGCACAAUGGGCGAAAGCCUGAUGCAGCGACGCCGCGUGGGGGAUGAAGGCCUUCGGGUUGUAAACUUCUUUUGCUCUGAACAAGGCAUGCUAACGGGUGUGUUGAGUGUAGGGGUUGAUUAGCGCCGGCUAACUACGUGCCAGCAGCCGCGGUAAUACGUAGGGCGCGAGCGUUGUCCGGAAUUAUUGGGCGUAAAGGGCUUGUAGGUGGCUGGUUGCGUCUGUCGUGAAAGCUCAUGGCUUAACUGUGGGUUUGCGGUGGGUACGGGCUGGCUUGAGUGCAGUAGGGGAGGCUGGAAUUCCUGGUGUAGCGGUGGAAUGCGCAGAUAUCAGGAGGAAUACCGGUGGCGAAGGCGGGUCUCUGGGCUGUUACUGACACUGAGGAGCGAAAGCAUGGGGAGCGAACAGG
rnacentral:rRNA from 1 species